rnacentral:lncRNA from 1 species
AUUGAGAGGCCGUAAAUGUGAUUGUAGGUGUGAGCAAUUUCUUCACCGGCCUUUUUGGUAGCCGCGUAAAGACUAGCUGGCUGGUCCGUCCGAUCAGCCUCGGAGAAUGGGACGUUCUCGUUUAAGCCGUAGACUGAGCUCGACGAGGCCCACACAAUCGACGGCUGAGGAUUGGCUGAUUUGCAAGCCUCAAGGAGCGUGACGAGGCCAGCGAUAUUGCUGUGCACGUACGAGUGGGGAUUCUGCAUCGCGUAUCUAACACCGGCUUGAGCCGCUAAAUGCAUCACGUGCGUAAAAGCCACAGCGUCAAAGAGCUUGGCUAAUAAUUUCGCGUCAUUGAUAUCACCUUCAAUU